rfam:Moraxella caviae strain CCTG 355 355T_ctg_0000018, whole genome shotgun sequence.
UAUUGUGUAAGCAAUGGUGGUAGAGUAAACUUGGCAAAUGCUUUUCGCAUUUGUGCUAAUGGAGAGAAAUCAAUGGCUCGUAUUGCCGGCGUAAACAUUCCGGAC